UGGCGGACGGGUGAGUAAUGUCUGGGAAACUGCCUGAUGGAGGGGGAUAACUACUGGAAACGGUAGCUAAUACCGCAUAACGUCGCAAGACCAAAGAGGGGGACCUUCGGGCCUCUUGCCAUCGGAUGUGCCCAGAUGGGAUUAGCUAGUAGGUGGGGUAACGGCUCACCUAGGCGACGAUCCCUAGCUAGUCUGAGAGGAUGACCAGCCACACUGGAACUGAGACACGGUCCAG
rnacentral:rRNA from 1 species